rnacentral:rRNA from 1 species
AUUGAACGCUUGCGGCAGGCCUAACACAUGCAAGUCGAACGAGUGGCGGACGGGUGAGUAAUGUCUGGGAAACUGCCCGAUGGAGGGGGAUAACUACUGGAAACGGUAUCUAAUACCGCAUACCAUCGGAUGUGCCCAGGUGGGAUUAGCUAGUAGGUGGGGUAACGGCUGACCUAGGCGACGAUCCCUAGCUGGUUUGAGAGGAUGAAAAGCCACACUGGAACUGAGACACGGUCCAGACUCCCAGGGUAGGAAGCAGUGGGGAAUAUUGCACAAUGGGGGAGAGGCUGAUGCAGGCAUGCCGCGUGAAUGAAGAAGGCCUUCGGGUUGUAAAGUACUUUCAGCGAGGAGGCGUUGCUCGCAGAAGAAGCACCGGCUAACUCCGUGCCAGCAGCCGCGGUAAUAC